rnacentral:rRNA from 1 species
AUUGAACGCUGGCGGCAGGCCUAACACAUGCAAGUCGAGCGGAUGAAGGCAGCUUGCUCCCGGAUUCAGCGGCGGACGGGUGAGUAAUGCCUAGGAAUCUGCCUGGUAGUGGGGGAUAACGUCCGGAAACGGGCGCUAAUACCGCAUACGUCCUGAGGGAGAAAGUGGGGGAUCUUCGGACCUCACGCUAUCAGAUGAGCCUAGGUCGGAUUAGCUAGUUGGUGGGGUAAAGGCCUACCAAGGCGACGAUCCGUAACUGGUCUGAGAGGAUGAUCAGUCACUCUGGAACUGAGACACGGUCCAGACUCCUACGGGAGGCAGCAGUGGGGAAUAUUGGACAAUGGGCGAAAGCCUGAUCCAGCCAUGCCGCGUGUGUGAAGAAGGUCUUCGGAUUGUAAAGCACUUUAAGUUGGGAGGAAGGGCAGUAAGUUAAUACCUUGCUGUUUUGACGUUACCGACAGAAUAAGCACCGGCUAACUUCGUG